rnacentral:rRNA from 1 species
AGUGAACGCUGGCGGUAGGCUUAACACAUGCAAGUCGAACGGCAGCACAGUAAGAGCUUGCUCUUACGGGUGGCGAGUGGCGGACGGGUGAGGAAUACAUCGGAAUCUACUUUUUCGUGGGGGAUAACGUAGGGAAACUUACGCUAAUACCGCAUACGACCUACGGGUGAAAGCAGGGGAUCUUCGGACCUUGCUCGAUUGAAUGAGCCGAUGUCGGAUUAGCUAGUUGGCGGGGUAAAGGCCCACCAAGGCGACGAUCCGUAGCUGGUCUGAGAGGAUGAUCAGCCACACUGGAACUGAGACACGGUCCAGACUCCUACGGGAGGCAGCAGUGGGGAAUAUUGGACAAUGGGCGCAAGCCUGAUCCAGCCAUACCGCGUGGGUGAAGAAGGCCUUCGGGUUGUAAAGCCCUUUUGUUGGGAAAGAAAAGCAGCAGGUUAAUACCCCGCUGUUCUGACGGUACCCAAAGAAUAAGCACCGGCUAACUUCGUG